rnacentral:rRNA from 1 species
UACGUAGGUGGCAAGCGAUACUCGGAAUCACUAGGCGUAAAGCGCAGGUAGGCGGUUGGGUAAGUCUUUUGUGAAAGCUCCUGGCUUAACCUGGGAGAGGUCAAAGGAACUACUCGGCUAGAGUUUGGUAGGGAUACUGGAAUUCCUGGUGUAGCGGUGAAAUGCGUAGAUAUCAGGAGGAAUACCUAUGGCGAAAGCAGGAU